UACAGAGGGGGCAAGCGUUGUUCGGAAUUACUGGGCGUAAAGGGCUCGUAGGCGGCCAACUAAGUCAGACGUGAAAUCCCUCGGCUUAACCGGGGAACUGCGUCUGAUACUGGAUGGCUUGAGUUUGGGAGAGGGAUGCGGAAUUCCAGGUGUAGCGGUGAAAUGCGUAGAUAUCUGGAGGAACACCGGUGGCGAAGGCGGCAUCCUGGACCAACACUGACGCUGAGGAGCGAAAGCCAGGGAGCAAAGCGGG
rnacentral:rRNA from 1 species